CAGCCAUUUGUUUUCUUUUAUGCUUUUUGUAUCUUUUCUGAAAAAAAAAAAGAAAUAGACUAAGAAAAACCUUCAAGAAAAGUGACGAUUUCAACCCUAGAAAUUUUACUCGACUAACUUUUUUCUGAAGAUUUUUCUCCGAUUUUUUCUCUAUAUUUUCCCUUUUUUUAGCACAUAGGACUCACCUCAUAUAUAUAGUCUUCAAAAUCUUCAAAUAAUCUGCCCAAAAAUUCGAAAAAUCCCUCAAGUUUUUGAACAAUUUUGGGACAAAUGGAGGGCGUGGAUUGAUUCACAUCUAUCCACGGCUCCCAUUCAUCCAACAAUUGUCCUUUCUGCACCCAAAAUCAUGCGAUUUGGGAGAGAAAAUUCGUACUCCUCUCUGACAAAUCCGUUAGGACUCAAAUGACGUGAAGGGGGGACCGUUUUGAGUGAGCUCGCUCAAAACUCAGGCUAGUUAAGGUAAGUCAAGGAGGAAGAAGAUGAAGGAAUAGGGUGAAGCGCCAUUUCUCUGAUUUCUCUAGGGUU
rnacentral:lncRNA from 1 species